UAAGCCUGUGAAGGUGUGUCGUGAGGCAUGCUGGAGGUAUCAGAAGUGCGAAUGCUGACAUAAGUAACGAUAAAGCGGGUGAAAAGCCCGCUCGCCGGAAGACCAAGGGUUCCUGUCCAACGUUAAUCGGGGCAGGGUGAGUCGACCCCUAAGGCGAGGCCGAAAGGCGUAGUCGAUGGGAAACGGGUUAAUAUUCCCGUACUUGGUGUUACUGCGAAGGGGGGACGGAGAAGGCUAUGUUGGCCGGGCGACGGUUGUCCCGGUUUAAGCGUGUAGGUGUGUGUUCCAGGUAAAUCCGGUUCACUUUAACACUGAGGCGUGACGACGAGGCACUACGGUGCUGAAGCAACAAAUGCCCUGCUUCCAGGAAAAGCCUCUAAGCAUCAGGUAACAUCAAAUCGUACCCCAAACCGACACAGGUGGUCAGGUAGAGAAUACCAAGGCGCUUGAGAGAACUCGGGUGAAGGAACUAGGCAAAAUGGUGCCGUAACUUCGGGAGAAGGCACGCUGACACGUAGGUGAAGUGAUUUACUCAUGGAGCUGAAGUCAGUCGAAGAUACCAGCUGGCUGCAACUGUUUAUUAAAAACACAGCACUGUGCAAACACGAAAGUGGACGUAUACGGUGUGACGCCUGCCCGGUGCCGGAAGGUUAAUUGAUGGGGUCAGCGCAAGCGAAGCUCCUGAUCGAAGCCCCGGUAAACGGCGGCCGUAACUAUAACGGUCCUAAGGUAGCGAAAUUCCUUGUCGGGUAAGUUCCGACCUGCACGAAUGGCGUAAUGAUGGCCAGGCUGUCUCCACCCGAGACUCAGUGAAAUUGAACUCGCUGUGAAGAUGCAGUGUACCCGCGGCAAGACGGAAAGACCCCGUGAACCUUUACUAUAGCUUGACACUGAACAUUGAGCCUUGAUGUGUAGGAUAGGUGGGAGGCUUUGAAGUGUGGACGCCAGUCUGCAUGGAGCCGACCUUGAAAUACCACCCUUUAAUGUUUGAUGUUCUAACGUGGACCCGUGAUCCGGGUUGCGGACAGUGUCUGGUGGGUAGUUUGACUGGGGCGGUCUCCUCCUAAAGAGUAACGGAGGAGCACGAAGGUUGGCUAAUCCUGGUCGGACAUCAGGAGGUUAGUGCAAUGGCAUAAGCCAGCUUGACUGCGAGCGUGACGGCGCGAGCAGGUGCGAAAGCAGGUCAUAGUGAUCCGGUGGUUCUGAAUGGAAGGGCCAUCGCUCAACGGAUAAAAGGUACUCCGGGGAUAACAGGCUGAUACCGCCCAAGAGUUCAUAUCGACGGCGGUGUUUGGCACCUCGAUGUCGGCUCAUCACAUCCUGGGGCUGAAGUAGGUCCCAAGGGUAUGGCUGUUCGCCAUUUAAAGUGGUACGCGAGCUGGGUUUAGAACGUCGUGAGACAGUUCGGUCCCUAUCUGCCGUGGGCGCUGGAGAACUGAGGGGGGCUGCUCCUAGUACGAGAGGACCGGAGUGGACGCAUCACUGGUGUUCGGGUUGUCAUGCCAAUGGCACUGCCCGGUAGCUAAAUGCGGAAGAGAUAAGUGCUGAAAGCAUCUAAGCACGAAACUUGCCCCGAGAUGAGUUCUCCCUGAGACUUAAAGUCUCCUGAAGGAACGUUGAAGACGACGACGUUGAUAGGCCGGGUGUGUAAGCGCAGCGAUGCGUUGAGCUAACCGGUACUAAUGAACCGUGAGGCUUAACCUU
rnacentral:rRNA from 1 species